rnacentral:rRNA from 1 species
UGGGGAAUAUUGGACAAUGGGGGGAACCCUGAUCCAGCCAUGCCGCGUGUGUGAAGAAGGCCUUUUGGUUGUAAAGCACUUUAAGCGAGGAGGAGGCUCUUCUAGUUAAUACCUAGGAUGAGUGGACGUUACUCGCAGAAUAAGCACCGGCUAACUCUGUGCCAGCAGCCGCGGUAAUACAGAGGGUGCGAGCGUUAAUCGGAUUUACUGGGAGUAAGGCGUACGUAGGCGGCUUUUUAAGUCGGAUGUGAAAUCCCUGAGCUUAACUUAGGAAUUGCAUUCGAGACUGGGAAGCUAGAGUAUGGGAGAGGAUGGUAGAAUUCCAGGUGUAGCGGUGAAAUGCGUAGAGAUCUGGAGGAAUACCGAUGGCGAAGGCAGCCAUCUGGCCUAAUACUGACGCUGAGGUACGAAAGCAUGGGGAGCAAACA